rnacentral:lncRNA from 1 species
CUGUUAAUGGGUUGGACAAUUGAAAUUGUGUCAGUUAAGAGUUAUUUAGCCACGACAAUAGUUGUGCUACCUUUAUAUUUUCCCUUUGAAAAAGUUAAGAAUGAGAUGCUCUUGAGUAAAAAAAAAAAUGACAAUACGCUGCAACAGUAUCCUUCUAGUAAGAACAUUUUUAUUUUGACUUCCUUUGCAUUUUAUUAAGGGGUGUGUCACUUCAAUAUAUGGAUAUGGAUUGCCUGCUGGAAUAUGCAUGAAUCUAUUAUUAACGUUUUCUUCAGCCUUAAUUUUUGUGUCUGUUCAAAGUAGCACGUUCUCAAAUCCGUCCGAAAGUGUCUUUCUAAUACAACACAGGGUACAUAUAACGUGUUGUCGUUCUCAUGUGCACAUAAUAUUUGUCACUGGACGUUAAACUCUAAAUCGUCAACAUCAUCCGAUUGGUUCUUUUCUUCUAUUACUGAAUCAUCUGUUGUUUACAAAUCAGUCUAAAGAAGUAAAUGGAAAGGAGCGAAUGCAGCUACAUUUGGUUAUCUUAAGUUUUAAUUCAUUUUAUUCCGUUU